UAAGAAUAUUCCGCAAUGGACGAAAGUCUGACGGAGCGACGCCGCGUGGAUGAUGAAGGCCGGAAGGUUGUAAAAUCCUUUUGUCGGGGAAGAAUAAGCAUGGGAGGGAAUGCCCGUGUGAUGACAUGAACCGGCGAAUAAGCCCCGGCUAACUACGUGCCAGCAGCCGCGGUAACACGUAGGGGGCGAGCGUUGUUCGGAAUUACUGGGCGUAAAGGGCAUGUAGGCGGUUCUGUAAGCCUGACGUGAAAGGCUAUGGCUCAACCAUGGCACUGCGUUGGGAACUGCGGGACUUGAAUCAUGGAGAGGGAGCUGGAAUUCCAGGUGUAGGGGUGAAAUCUGUAGAUAUCUGGAAGAACACCAGUGGCGAAGGCGAGCUCCUGGCCAAUGAUUGACGCUGAGGUGCGAAAGUGUGGGGAUCAAAC
rnacentral:rRNA from 1 species